GACAUAGGGUGCAAACGUUGUUCGGAAUUACUGGGCGUAAAGCGCGUGUAGGCGGCUAAGCAAGUCGGGCGUGAAAUCCCAUGGCUCAACCAUGGAAGUGCACCCGAAACUGCAUAGCUAGAGUCCUGGAGAGGAAGGUGGAAUGCUUGGUGUAGAGGUGAAAUUCGUAGAUAUCAAGCGGAACACCGGUGGCGAAGGCGGCCUUCUGGACAAUGACUGACGCUAAAACACGAAAGCGUGGGGAGCAAACAGG
rnacentral:rRNA from 1 species